UGGUUUAUUUACAUGUCUAACUAUUAAAGUCAAACUCUCAGUUCUGGUGUGCUAAACAAACCUUUCAAGGUAAAUUAGCAGCAUGACUAAGUUAGCCAAUGCCUGGCAGUCACCUUCAGACAAGG
rnacentral:snoRNA from 1 species